CUAAAUUAUAUUAUCACGUGUUAUAAUUAUGCAAUGACAAUUGUGUGAAUAACACGUAAAGCAAUAUAUAAAUAAAUACUUUCCAUUAGCAACAGUUAUUUCAGGAUGUAUAUAUAGGUCUGGGGUCUCUGGUUCCAACAAAGAGACACCACUCUUGAUGGAGUCCUCUCCAGAUAUAAUCCUGGAACGUUCCAUUCAGGUUUCCAUGGAUUUGGAACAAAGCCUGCACAGCUCCUG